GACAGCACUGCAGAGCUCUACUCAUGCUCCUUGCACCACACUGGCAUUGCAGGCAGCAAGUAGCAGGUUGUUUGCCACGGGUGACUGAUUUUAGCCAUAUAUUUAUCUGCUUCAGCCUUGCGUGUUGAUUCCCAGCUACAUCCUGCUCUUAACAUCCCUUUUCGGAGGCACCAAAAAGAAGAAUCAUUGAAUGAUUUGAGUUGGAAGGGACUCAUAAAGACCAUCUAGUCCAGUUCCCCUGCCAUGAACAGCUCGAUCAGGUGCCCAGAGCCCCAUCCAGCCUGACCUGGAGUGUCUCCUUAUUCCUGACCUUCCACUGGUGCUCAAAUUUGGACUUCUGCAACAUCCUUUCAGAGAGAGCCAACUUCCGUUCUGAUUUAAGAAAUCAUCCAAUUAGACUAACAGCUGCAGAGAUUGGAAUAAGCCUUGCAUGUGAGAAAAUUAAAGAAAAUGCAGCUGAGUACUAUGCAAAGCAGUGAAGCUUGGUCUGGUGCUUGACCUUGUCAUAAGCACGCAAGACAAUGUUCAGAGCUGUCCAGCUGCUUGCAACACCACUAAUCUCUAUAUGAAAUGAAAAAAACAGACUCUCCAAUCACAUCCAUGGAGCUGAAUUUAGUGAGGAGAUAUAUAAACACCAGAAUGCACUUAUCCACUACCUUGUCUUACAUGCACGGUGUACCUUGCCAAGGGAAAGUCCAAAGGAGAAGUUGUGGAACUGCGCUUUUCAUCAGCUGUCAAGACGGUUUCUUGUAUUACCUGGUAAAACUCACUUGAUUUGACUGUAAUGUUUUUCUUGUAUGAUACCAUGUGCCAUCAUGAUACAAUGCUUUAAGGCCCAUUGAAAAUCAGCUGUAACUUUACUUUUUUUUUUUUUUUUUUUUUUUCCAGAAGAGAUUAACCAAAGCUCCUCAUGUUUGGAUUUGAACAGACUAGACACAUGAAGGGUUAUCUUUUUUGUGGUCACAAACUACUGGUUUGAUCUGGAAUGAUAGUUUAUAUGCCCAGCAUAUUCUGGUGUGAUGGCUUUUUGUUGUAUACACAAUUGUAACCAGUUUCAUUGCUUGCAUCAUCUAAACCUCUGUUUUUAAAAAACUUUUCUUUUAAGUAAAGGAAGAGUAGCUGCAAUCCUCUAAUCAAAUUUCUCUGAAAACAGGAGCUAAUACGUCCACAGAUGAGCUCCUGACUCCUGUCCAUCAUAACAUUUUAAACCAGAAUGCAUUUCAGAAGCACACCAAGUUCUUUGAAAUUGUUCACUGUAAUGAUUGUUGUGUUGCAGCAAAAACUGAAUAGCUGGCUAGUAUAAACUUUAUUAUUGAAAACAUCAAAGAUGUUGCUGUAAUGAUUAUUAAUUACCACGUAGCUUUGAGAAGUAGUUCCUGCCAAUCAACUUCACAUUAUUUUUAUGAGAAUAUGACUUUAUCUGACAGAUACACAGGUGCUAAUGCAAAUUUUGUAAUGCAUGACUUGAUGCCACACACCUUAGGAUUAUCAAAUGAAAGUGAAACAAAGUUAUUGUUGUGCAUACCAAAUGGAUCAAACACUUGUAAAACAGUGGUUGGUUUUUUACUCUGUUUUUGAAAGGACUCUAAUAAGAAAUCUAAGGCAUUUAGGUGAACUUCUAUGAAGAUCCUUUCAAAGAGAAAUGAUGGAAUUUAGAACUUACACCAGCUUUUGGUAAAAAAAAAAAAAAAAUCAUUACUUAUUAAAAAAAAAGAAAUCUUUGCCAUUCAAAGAUAACAUCAAAAAGGCAUGCUUGGCUACAAGGAAGUCAGAUGCAUGUGGAAAAAGCAAUCUUUAUUUAAAAAAAAAAAAUAUAUAUAUAUAUAUAUAUUGAUUUGUCACACACACAUAUAUAGAAGUUCCAGCGUGGCCAGAUGUUGGAAUCUGUCACAGCUGCAGACAGGAAGCUUUCACAGGAAAGCAAUUACUCUGGAACAUGGAAACAUAUAGAUAGCAGUGAUCUGUGGGUGACCUUCCAGUCCUGUCUGUAUCCAAAAGGGUUAACGUGAUCCCUGCUUGUAUUAAUGUUGUUAUUGCUGGUGGCCGUAGAUAUCUAUUUCUCAUACUGAGGAGCUUUUUGGAAAACUGAAGGAUUCAGGGGAGUGUAGCAAGAAUUAAUAAAAGGUUGAACAAAGCUUUGGAAUGAAAAGCCUGAGAAGCUUAAAUGAUUAGUUCAAUGAUGAGAACAUAAACGGGUAAUUAGAUCAGUGUCUAUAUGGUAGAGAAACUUAAUAAUGGACUUUUUAGUCUAUUAGAAAGUGUUUUUUACUUAGUGAGAAACACUAAGUAAAAAAGCUGAAGGUGGACAUAUUUGUAUUGAAGUUGGAGGAUAUCACUAGAAGGAACAACUCAGUAUUUUGGUCAGAACACAUGCACAGAUAUACAUUCUCUUAAUAUCAUUGUAAAUAAUCCACCAUUCUUUAGACAACUGCAUGUUGUGAGGAAGUAGUAACUGUUCUUUAGUUUCCAAUAAUUAUUCACACUUUUCUCUUUAGUUUCCAUUUACCAGCUGACUAAGCCCAUAAUUAUCACUAAGAAUGUGAAACUAGCUCCUGGUAUGCACCAGAGAAUGUGUUAUUGGUUUGCACAUAAGUGUAAUCAAACCAUGAUUACUUGCAGCAAUCACCAUUAAUUUUUAGGCUUGAAUUAGUUCUUCUGUACCACUAAAUAAAUAAAUAAGUAGUAACCUAGAAUUUACUCAAUUUGAAUGCUACAAUUUACAGGUUAAAAAACUCACUCAUAAUUUAUUUUACUAUAAAUAUUGGCAAAAAACUAAUUACAGUAUGCAUUUGUUUCCAUUUGAAGUCCCUUUAUUUUCAUUUUCAUUGUUAUUUUAUUUUUAAUCAAUUUGAAAUCUCUAGAGAUGCUUGACCUGUCAUUUAUCUGAUUGUCUCCAUUGUAUUUUGCCUUUCUUCAGCCAGUAUCAGAAAAUACCUCAUCUAUCCGUUUUUUUUUUGUCAGAAAACUUCUCUUAAAGCCAACAAGAUCAUUUACUUCAAAUUUCUCCUGGAUUCAGAAAACAAUGAUAACAACAUAUUAACUCCCUUCCCCCUCUUGUAUUUUUGACUCUUAUUAAAUGGGCUUCAAGCUUUUAGCUAUGGAAAUCUUCACAUCAUCUUCUCUUUUAACAGGCGUUUUCAUUUCUAACUUACUGACAAUGAUUCUGAAGCUGAUAUAUAAGCAAAUAAAAUGCUUUCUCUAA